rnacentral:rRNA from 1 species
UACGUAGGGACCGAGCGUUGUCCGGAUUCAUUGGGCGUAAAGAGCUCGUAGGCGGCUAUUCAAGUCGAACGUGAAAUCUCGGAGCUUAACUCCGAAACUGCAUUCGAUACUGCCGUGCUUGAGGACUGGAGAGGAGACUGGAAUUUACGGUGUAGCGGUGAAAUGCGUAGAUAUCGUAAGGAAGACCAGUGGCGAAGGCGGGUCUCUGGACAGUUCCUGACGCUGAGGCACGAAGGUCAGGGGAGUACGAAACUGG